AGGAACUCGGCAAACCUUAACCCCGCCUGUUUACCAAAAACAUCACCUCUAGCAUUACUAGUAUUAGAGGCACUGCCUGCCCAGUGACACACGUUCAACGGCCGCGGUAUCCUGACCGUGCAAAGGUAGCAUAAUCACUUGUUCCUUAAUUAGGGACUCGCAUGAAUGGCAACACGAGGGUUUAACUGUCUCUUUCUUCCAAUCAGUGAAAUUGACCUCCCCGUGAA
rnacentral:rRNA from 1 species